CAAGAGAAAUAAAAUAUCCUAAAGGCAUCAGAUCCCAUCUGAUUUUGAAAGCUACGCAGGGUCAUUCCUGGUUAGUACUAGGAUGAGAGACCACUAAUGAAUACCAGGUGCUGUGUUAU
rnacentral:rRNA from 1 species